AGCAGCCGCGGUAAUACGGAGGGUGCGAGCGUUAAUCGGAAUUACUGGGCGUAAAGCGCACGUAGGCGGUUCUGUAAGUGGGAUGUGAAACCCCCGGGCUUAACCUGGGACUUGCAUACCAGACUGCAAAGCUAGAGUAUGAGAGAGGGUGGUGGAAUUUCCGGUGUAGCGGUGAAAAUGCGUAGAGAUCGGAAGGAACAUCAGUGGCGAAGGCGGCCACCUGGCUUAAUACUGACGCUGAGGUGCGAAAGCGUGGGGAUCAAACAGGAUUAGAUACCCUGGUAGUCCACGCCGUAAACGAUGAGAACUAGCCGUUGGAUUCCUUAGAGGAUUUAGUGGCGCAGCUAACGCGAUAAGUUCUCCGCCUGGGGAGUACGGCCGCAAGGUUAAAACUCAAAUGAAUUGACGGGGG
rnacentral:rRNA from 1 species